rnacentral:lncRNA from 1 species
GUGGAAUGAAACCAGGAAGCACAAAGUUUCAGGAGAGCAAAGAUCCCCCCAGGAAGGAAAAGACAAGGACACGGUGAUGUGUUUGUGCCUCAGAGAAGACUGGAAGCCAGAGGACCAACACGCUGAUGUCUCUGCAAAGCCCACAGCCAUCAGACACAGGUGCCAGGAGGAGGGGAAAUCAGCUGCUUACAGUCUGAAUGACAUAUCCUGAGGAUAAUUUACACUGAUUCCCGAGUGCUAUCUCAUGGUUUUAUCAGUGAUUGGUAAGGCAAGAUUGGAGAACUGUUGACAAGACUGACAACAGAGAAUUGUCCGUAUAUCUCUGAGAAGGGGCCCAGAGAUGGAGUGUGACAUAUUUCAUGCUUACCAGGAGGUUCCCCCAACAAAAGAUACUCCUGAGGACUAGGUGGGCAGAAUGACUCUCUGAAUAAUAGGUGUUAUCCUGGAUAUCAUUCUCCAUCUUGUGAGUUUAGACCCUCUUCCUGCAUCAUACACACCAACCAGAGCCUGAGACAAGGACUUUUGGGGUAGGUAGUCUUCUUGAGCAGAGAUCCCAGAGAGUAGGAAGAAGGGCAGAAGAUGGUGAAACAUGGCAGGGCAGAGAAUGUCCACCACCCAGUCAGGUCACUAUUUUUGUGAGUAAAUGAGCUGUAUCUUUUGAGAAUAUGUGUAAAGUAUUUCUUAAAUUUAUUUAUUCUUGACUUCAUCCAUUA